GGGGGCGUAUUGGUUUCGACGGGAUUGUUGAGACUUGAGUAGCGGGUAGAGGAUUCUCGUUGGCCUCUUAAAAAACGAGAAACUAAAAUUAAACGCUAAAAACGAUAACUUUAAUUACGCUUUAGCAGCUUAGUCUGCUAACCGUCAGUCCCAGGUUCCUGCACCUGGGGGCACUGGCGUCAUUAAGUCAGGCCUUAGGCAUAGGAAGGUUAAAUGUCUGAACUGAUCCGAUGGUAGCCUUGAGUCGGUUCGGAACUUAAAGGAUACGGUAGCGUAGACCCUUCCGUUGGGGGAUGCGUGUCAGGAAUGUCAAAUUGACGGAUACACCCGUAGAAGCACUUGUGGAUAUGGUUUCGGACAGGGGUUCGACUCCCCUCGCCUCCACCA
rnacentral:tmRNA from 1 species